UACAUAGACUUGGAGAUCAAAGUCCUCAAUUUAUCCACAGAACAGAUACAGCACAGGCAUCAGAUGUGCAAUGUUUUCCCUUCCUUCCCACUAAUAUGUCUCCACCCUAAGCUGGCUCAGCUUAAAAGAACUGUUGAAUCACCAUCAAUUAGAUAAUCUGUUUCA
rnacentral:sRNA from 1 species